UUUGCCCUGUCAAAGCAGCCUUGUUAGUGUGGCCAUAGCUUCAUGGCCCUGGUCAACAGCAGUGUGCAGAUGCAGUGAGGAUGGGUGCAGGCAGCUUUGGACCAUUAGCUCCUGGCAGCUCACUGCUUCUUCCCUGGAAGGUGUUUGUGCUCCUCAGAAGAUUUCUCUGAAGAAACUAGUUGUAUAUCAGCUGCAUUGCCUUGACAGAGCUCUCUCUGGAUCAAGAUGCUGAAGUGCUAAUAGCAAUAAUCAUCCCAUGAACUGCACGGUACACAGGAUUCUUAGUGGUACUCCUAUAGACUCCUGCUGAUUAUGGCUACAAACUACUCAAAUAAAGAUCAUUGUAUUGGCUUUAUCCUCAAAAACACUUUUCUGGCUUCUGAAGGGAUGCACACACUCAAAGCAAACAGCAGGAAGGAAUGCUACAAUUAAGGUUUGAAAGGUCUUAGACUGAGUCUUUUAAGCAUUUUUCUUCACAAGAUUCCCAUUACCAACUAAAUGGCAUUAUUGCUUGUUUUGUUUUGGUGAUGAGACCUUUAUACAAAUGGAUUUCAAGAAUAAGGCAGUAUCUACAGAGGUCAAGAUCAAGAAACAUCUUUA
rnacentral:lncRNA from 1 species